rnacentral:rRNA from 1 species
AUUGAACGCUGGCGGCAGGCUUAACAAAUGAAAGUCGAACGAGUGGCGGACGGGUGAGUAAUUCUUGGGAAUCUGGCUUAUGGAGGGGGAUAAAGACGGGAAAUUUUCGCUAAUACGCCAUACCAUAGGAUGAGCCCAAGGGGGAUUAGGUAGUUGGUGGGGUAAUGGCCUACCAAGCCGACGAUCUCUAGCUGGUCUGAGAGGAUGACCAGCCACACUGGGACUGAGACACGGUCCAGACUCCUACGGGAGGCAGCAGGGGGGAAUAUUGCACAAUGGGGGCAAGCCUGAUGCAGCCAUGCCGCGUGUGUGAAGAAGGCCUUCGGGUUGUAAAGCACUUUCAGCGGGGAGGCGUUACCCGCAGAAGAAGCACCGGCUAACUCCGUGCCAGCAGCCGCGGUAAUAC